rnacentral:sRNA from 1 species
AGGUCAAACCACCCCAUCAUGGCUGGAGUCUUUUGGUGCCCACUUCUGGCCAACUGUACUCAGUUUCUUGGUGGAAGCCAGCCAAGAGUAGAAUGUUUCCUUCUGCACAUUGGGCACAGGGAAGCUGUGUUUAGUCACCCUGCAGGCAGCUACUUCCGAAGUACCUGGCCCUGGGUUCACUCAGCAUCUGGUCCUUGGGGCAGCUGAUGGGACCGUUGCUUGCUGGUCCCAGCAGUCUAUUCUAUUUCCGGAGGUUACAAGCUUCUGACCAUCCCACCAUAGUCACCUGGAGGUUUUGCUCCUGUUUGGUGGCCUCUCAUCUGUCACCUUUUCUGAUGGAGAGUAGUGGGUCAGCCUCGAAUCACUCCCUGGGAGCUCUCGCCUUCAUUCAGCUCUGCUGUCUGACUCUUGCAGCUGGAAAGCGAAAUCCAGCGGCUCUCUGAGGCCCAUGAGAGCCUGACCAGAGCCUCCUCCAAGCGUGAGGCCCUGGAGAAGACCAUGCGCAACAAGAUGGACAGUGAAAUGAGGAGGCUGCAAGACUUCAACCGGGAUCUUAGAGAGAGAUUGGAAUCUGCAAAUCGCCGCCUGGCAAGCAAGACACAGGAGGCCCAGGCCGGCAGUCAGGACAUGGUGGCCAAGCUGCUUGCUCAGAGCUACGAGCAGCAGCAGGAGCAAGAGAAGCUGGAGCGAGAGAUGGCACUGCUGCGCGGCGCCAUCGAGGACCAGCGGCGGCGUGCUGAGCUGCUGGAGCAGGCUUUGGGCAACGCGCAGGGCCGUGCAGCUCGAGCCGAAGAGGAGCUGCGCAAGAAGCAGGCCUAUGUGGAGAAAGUGGAGCGGCUGCAGCAGGCGCUCGGGCAGCUGCAGGCAGCCUGUGAGAAGCGGGAGCAGCUGGAGCUGCGUCUGCGGACUCGCCUGGAGCAGGAACUCAAGGCCCUGCGUGCACAGCAGAGACAGGCAGGUGCCCCUGGUGGUAGCAGUGGCAGUGGUGGGUCCCCAGAGCUCAGCGCCCUGCGACUGUCAGAACAACUGCGAGAGAAGGAGGAGCAGAUCCUGGCGCUGGAGGCCGACAUGACCAAGUGGGAGCAGAAGUAUUUGGAGGAACGUGCCAUGAGGCAGUUUGCCAUGGAUGCGGCUGCCACGGCUGCUGCCCAGCGUGACACCACUCUCAUCCGACAUUCCCCCCAGCCCUCGCCCAGCAGCAGCUUCAAUGAGGGUCUGCUCACUGGUGGCCACAGGCAUCAGGAGAUGGAAAGCAGGUUAAAGGUGCUCCAUGCCCAGAUCCUGGAGAAGGAUGCAGUGAUCAAGGUCCUUCAGCAGCGCUCCAGGAGAGACCCUGGCAAGGCCACCCAGGGCUCCCUGCGGCCUGCCAAGUCGGUGCCAUCUGUUUUCGCGGCUGCGGCAGCAGUAACCCAGGGCUGGCAAGGGCUCUCUUCUAGUGAGCGACAAACAGCAGACGCCCCUGCUCGGCUGACUACAGCAGACAGAGCACCCACAGAGGAGCCAGUGGUCACAUCUCCCCCUGCUGCCCAUGCCAAACACGGGAGCCGAGAUGGGAGCACCCAGACUGACGGCCCCCCAGACAGCACCUCCAUCUGCCUGCCACCGGAGCCUGACAGCCUUCUGGGGUGCAGCAGUAGCCAGAGAGCAGCCUCUCUGGACUCUGUAGCUAUAUCCAGAGUCCAGGACUUGUCGGACAUGGUGGAGAUACUGAUCUGAAGGAGGUGGUGCUUCAGGACUCUGAGCCAUUCUCUCCCCUCCUCUGCCCUGUGCCACUCUCAGCCAUUUCAGCAGCCCUGUCAACCGCUGCUCCAUCCCUUUCCCCAGCCAGACACUCAUUCCCAUUGACCAUCUGGUCCCAGGAGCUCAGGAGGAGGACCCCAGGGGAGAGAGCUGUGAGAGCACCGGCACCCCCAGAAGACUCUGCUUCUUAGCCCACAUUCCUCCGAGCCUUAUGGAGAAUGAGGAUUCAGCCUUGACUUCUUGCCCAAGGCCUGCUACUGGGGUAGCAACUGACAGCUCAGAAAGGAGCUGAGCUCCCUCUGCCCUGCCAGUUGUCAGUCAGGCAGGGAGGGAGGGGCUGUGUUGGUUUGGGGAACUAAUUUCCAAGAAUGGCUGCCUGUGGACACCAGGUGGACUGGUUCACUAAUCAAGUCAGCCAUGUUAUUCUCUGGCUAAGUUUGGUUCCAGCCAACCUCAUCUGCUCUUCAGUUCCUCACUGCCUUCUUGGGAUACUAAGACUUGAAUCUUUUGGGGACUAUUAAGGGUGUUAGUCUUGGAGAAGGCACAGCCUCACCUUCUCAUUUGCUGUGGGUUAGGGGCCAUUUAAGUGGACUGGGAGACAGUGCGCAGUUUGUAUAUAAUUCCCUUUCUUGUGGAACAGAAGACUGAGGCCUGCAGGUUCUGAUGUGUCUCCAUGGGCUGUGCUCCCCUCUUCCUACUGUCAGUUUCUGAAACUUCUGACUGGCCUCCCAGUUAUGCCUCCUCCUCAAGUUCCUGGCCCGUGGAUGUUAAAGCUGCUCGAUUCCCAGGAUCACGGCUGGCUGCCUUUUCCUCCAUCUUGAGCCCUAUAAAUGCCCACGGGACCCCCACCACCAGCCUCUUGAAGUGGCUCCACAGCUCCUGUCCCUGGAACAUCCUGUCAGUUUGGUCAUAAACCCUGAGCCAGAUGAAAUAAGCCACCAUGAACAGACAUCUGCCAUGCCCCCAGGUGGGCUUCGGUGGCCCUACCCGGUACCAGUUCUCUCUGAGAAACUGGAGAUGUCUUGUUAGCAUAAGUGUCUUUGUUCCCACCUGGAGGGUUUGGGAGAGGAGCAAAGUGGUUGAAAACUAGUUAAUGAGCUGCAAGAGUCAAAUAGUCCUCUGAAUGGAGCCCCCAUCACAAAACAGUGCCCAGGAGGCUGGCUCCUCAAGCUACCCAUGCCCAGCGCCCUAAAGCAGGACCAGAUGCUUUGGAAGUGGGGUCAAACACCCACAUGGCAGCCUGCUAGCAGCAGUGACUUUGACUUCUGGUCUUAAAGAGUCCCUCACUUCAGCCCCAGGAGCUAUUGGUGGGUUUUAGCAGUUUUGUCUUUACCGUUUUUAGUUCUCCUUGAUUCUUUGUUUUCUUCCUUUAUCGUUUUUAGGUUUGGUAUGUGUUGUUUUAUUUCCAUGGUUCCUCAAGUUUCCUUUUUAAACAUUUGCAUUUGCUGGACAAUUGCAAUUUUUAAAAAAAUUCCCCUACCCCUGUUUAAAGCUG